CGCCGCUCUCGGGUUUUCUUCCGCCUUACACAUUAUGGAGACUCACAGAGCCGUUGCGGGGGCUGCUGGAGAUACAACCCGCUACCCUGAAAAUGAAGGGGUGGAAGAUGACACCGAUCCGCAAAAGAGGAGCAGGGAUUCCAAGGCAGUCUGGGGUCCCUUCGCAGUCUCUGCGGGGAGCCGAGGGAGGUCGCAGAUGCGACCAUUGAGCAAUUUUGUAAGGUCCCUGUCCUGCUCUUCCGAGAUUUUUCGUGAGCUGGUCCUCCGUUCGUGACACUCUCAGUAGAUUUGGUUGAAUCGCAUAUAGAAACAUUUAGGGUCAGGAGGACGCUCAGUGGAGAGACCCAGGCUAUGUAGUCCUACAGACCUGCAGGAGUGCUCUUGGCAAUGGGUCUUGGAGAAAGAAGACAGCUAAGCCCACACUGGCAACAUUAAGGUAAACUCCUUUCCUGAAGGUUUUACCUGAUCAUUCUCUU